GUCUAUGGCCAUGUCACCCUGAACAAGCCCAAUGUCUAAUCUCGGAAGCUAAGCAGGGUCAGGCCUGGUUUGUACUUGGAUGGGAGACCACUAGGAAGACCAGGUGCUGUAGGCA
rnacentral:rRNA from 1 species